AGCGCAGACGGUUUAUUAAGUCUGAUGUGAAAGCCCGGAGCUCAACUCCGGAAUGGCAUUGGAAACUGGUUAACUUGAGUGUAGUAGAGGUAAGUGGAACUCCAUGUGUAGCGGUGGAAUGCGUAGAUAUAUGGAAGAACACCAGUGGCGAAGGCGGCUUACUGGACUGCAACUGACGUUGAGGCUCGAAAGUGUGGGUAGCAAACA
rnacentral:rRNA from 1 species